rfam:Mus musculus chromosome 12, GRC primary reference assembly.
UUGGCUUAUUCAGAUUUCUGUCCAAAGUGCUUCCUGCACUUUCAAGGGGACUGUGGGGGUUCUCUAAG